rnacentral:rRNA from 1 species
GAAGGGCUCCUCCACUGGGACUUCAACCCCGGCCUUAAGGCCGAGGAUCAGGUUCGUAGGCGCUUCAGAUCCACGGUCCAUUUCUCCCCGGAUUCUUCCUCCAAGGAAUUUUUCUUGGUGGCCACGUUCUCUUCUGCUUCUUUUCCCUUGACAUGUGCUUCGCUUGGUUUGGCCUUACAAUGUUGCAUUGGAGGAGUUGCUUCUGGUUUCAAAGUUACAUCUAUUGGAGCAAGGAAUUUUAGGUUUUCGGUUGCUUCAAACAAAGUUGGACAUUUCAUUUAUGCCCUAUGCGAUAGGGUUUGGCCAGAUUUUGUUUGUCAAUUUGGUCUCUUCAAGCACCCUUGGAAUGUGCCAAUGAUGUAUUCAGUUGUGGGCAGCACUCCUCUUGGGAGUAGUGCCACUAAAGCCAUCUGUUCUAACCUGCAUUUUCUUGAAAAAGUGCAUCUAAAGAUGGCUCAGCCUCAAAGGAAUUGGCCAAGUUUGGGUUUUGCAUUCAGCGUUCUACCAACUUAA